GCCACCAUAGCUCAGCUGGUAGAGCGACGGUCUUGUAAACCGUAGGUCAUCGGUUCGAACCCGAUUGGUGGCUCCA
rnacentral:tRNA from 1 species